CCAAUAGCGUAUAUUAAAGUUGUUGCAGUUAAAAAGCUCGUAGUUGAAUUUCAGGCCUGGCUGGGCGGUCCGCCCUUCGGGUGAGUACUGCCUGUGGUCGGGUCCUACCUUCUGGCGAAGCGUCAUGGCCUUAACCGGCCGUGGCGGGGAACCAGGACUUUUACUGUGAAAAAAUUAGAGUGUUCAAAGCAGGCAAUCGCUUGGAUACAUUAGCAUGGAAUAAUGGAAUAGGACAAUGGUUCUAUUUGUUGGUUUCUAGGACCGUUGUAAUGAUUAAUAGGGAUAGUUGGGGGCAUUAGUAUUCAAUUGUCAGAGGUGAAAUUCUUGGAUUUAUUGAAGACUAACUACUGCGAAAGCAUUUGCCAAGGAUGUUUUCAUUAAUCAAGAACGAAAGUUAGGGGAUCGAAGACGAUCAGAUACCGUCGUAGUCUUAACCAUAAACUAUGCCGACUAGGAAUCGGGCGAUGUUGACAAAAUGACGCGCUCGGCACCUCAUG
rnacentral:rRNA from 2 species